CAAACUGAAGGUGGCGACCGGCGCACGGGUGAGUAACACGUAUCCAACCUGCCGAUAACUCCGGAAUAGCCUUUCGAAAGAAAGAUUAAUACCGGAUAGCAUACGAAUAUCGCAUGAUAUUUUUAUUAAAGAAUUUCGGUUAUCGAUGGGGAUGCGUUCCAUUAGUUUGUUGGCGGGGUAACGGCCCACCAAGACUACGAUGGAUAGGGGUUCUGAGAGGAAGGUCCCCCACAUUGGAACUGAGACACGGUCCAAACUCCUACGGGGAGGCAGCAUG
rnacentral:rRNA from 1 species